AGGCGAAGUGAUUCGCCACAGGCCGCAGCGGCACGCGGCCACUGGGCGGCGGAUUCCCUCCUCGGGUCCGCCCGUUUUUUU
rfam:Xanthomonas translucens pv. undulosa strain Xtu 4699, complete genome.